rnacentral:rRNA from 1 species
CAGUUUGCUUGCAAACUGGAGAUGGCGACCGGCGCACGGGUGAGUAACACGUAUCCAACCUGCCGAUAACUCGGGGAUAGCCUUUCGAAAGAAAGAUUAAUACCCGAUGGCAUAAUUAGACCGCAUGGUCUUAUUAUUAAAGAAUUUCGGUUAUCGAUGGGGAUGCGUUCCAUUAGGCAGUUGGUGAGGUAACGGCUCACCAAACCUUCGAUGGAUAGGGGUUCUGAGAGGAAGGUCCCCCACAUUGGAACUGAGACACGGUCCAAACUCCUACGGGAGGCAGCAGUGAGGAAUAUUGGUCAAUGGACGAGAGUCUGAACCAGCCAAGUAGCGUGAAGGAUGACUGCCCUAUGGGUUGUAAACUUCUUUUAUAUGGGAAUAAAGUUUUCCACGUGUGGAAUUUUGUAUGUACCAUAUGAAUAAGGAUCGGCUAACUCCGUGCCAGCAGCCGCGGUAAUACGGAGGAUCCGAGCGUUAUCCGGAUUUAUUGGGUUUAAAGGGAGCGUAGGUGGACAGUUAAGUCAGUUGUGAAAGUUUGCGGCUCAACCGUAAAAUUGCAGUUGAUACUGGCUGUCUUGAGUACAGUAGAGGUGGGCGGAAUUCGUGGUGUAGCGGUGAAAUGCUUAGAUAUCACGAAGAACUCCGAUUGCGAAG